rnacentral:rRNA from 1 species
GACGAACGCUGGCGGCGUGCCUAAUACAUGCAAGUUGAGCGAUGAAGAUUGGUGCUUGCACCAAUUUGAAGAGCAGCGAACGGGUGAGUAACGCGUGGGGAAUCUGCCUUUGAGCGGGGGACAACAUUUGGAAACGAAUGCUAAUACCGCAUAACAACUUUAAACAUAAGUUUUAAGUUUGAAAGAUGCAAUUGCAUCACUCAAAGAUGAUCCCGCGUUGUAUUAGCUAGUUGGUGAGGUAAAGGCUCACCAAGGCGAUGAUACAUAGCCGACCUGAGAGGGUGGUCGGCCACAUUGGGACUGAGACACGGCCCAAACUCCUACGGGAGGCAGCAGUAGGGAAUCUUCGGCAAUGGACGAAAGUCUGACCGAGCAACGCCGCGUGAGUGAAGAAGGGUUUCGGAUCGUAAAACUCUGUUGGUAGAGAAGAACGUUGGUGAGAGUGGAAAGCUCAUCAAGUGACGGUAACUACCCAGAAAGGGACGGCUAACUACGUG